ACCAAUAGCUUAGUUGGUUAAAGCAUGGUACUCAGUAAUGCCAAGGUUGCAGGUUCAAUCCCUGUAACAGACAGCUGCA